GAUGAACGCUGGCGGCGUGCCUAAUACAUGCAAGUCGAGCGAACAGAUAAGGAGCUUGCUCCUUUGAAGUUAGCGGCGGACGGGUGAGUAACACGUGGGUAACCUACCUAUAAGACUGGGAUAACUUCGGGAAACCGGAGCUAAUACCGGAUAACAUUUAGAACCGCAUGGUCCUAAAGUGAAAGAUGGUUUUGCUAUCACUUAUAGAUGGACCCGCGCCGUAUUAGCUAGUUGGUAAGGUAACGGCUUACCAAGGCGACGAUACGUAGCCGACCUGAGAGGGUGAUCGGCCACACUGGAACUGAGACACGGUCCAGACUCCUACGGGAGGCAGCAGUAGGGAAUCUUCCGCAAUGGGCGAAAGCCUGACGGAGCAACGCCGCGUGAGUGAUGAAGGGUUUCGGCUCGUAAAACUCUGUUAUUAGGGAAGAACAAAUGUGUAAGUAACUGUGCACAUCUUGACGGUACCUAAUCAGAAAGCCACGGCUAACUACGUGCCAGCAGCCGCGGUAAUACGUAGGUGGCAAGCGUUAUCCGGAAUUAUUGGGCGUAAAGCGCGCGUAGGCGGUUUCUUAAGUCUGAUGUGAAAGCCCACGGCUCAACCGUGGAGGGUCAUUGGAAACUGGGAAACUUGAAUGCAGAAGAGGAAAGUGGAAUUCCAUGUGUAGCGGUGAAAUGCGCAGAGAUAUGGAGGAACACCAGUGGCGAAGGCGACUUUCUGGUCUGUAACUGACGCUGAUGUGCGAAAGCGUGGGGAUCAAACAGGAUUAGAUACCCUGGUAGUCCACGCCGUAAACGAUGAGUGCUAAGUGUUAGGGGGUUUCCGCCCCUUAGUGCUGCAGCUAACGCAUUAAGCACUCCGCCUGGGGAGUACGACCGCAAGGUUGAAACUCAAAGGAAUUGACGGGGACCCGCACAAGCGGUGGAGCAUGUGGUUUAAUUCGAAGCAACGCGAAGAACCUUACCAAAUCUUGACAUCCUUUGAAAACUCUAGAGAUAGAGCCUUCCCCUUCGGGGGACAAAGUGACAGGUGGUGCAUGGUUGUCGUCAGCUCGUGUCGUGAGAUGUUGGGUUAAGUCCCGCAACGAGCGCAACCCUUAAGCUUAGUUGCCAUCAUUAAGUUGGGCACUCUAGGUUGACUGCCGGUGACAAACCGGAGGAAGGUGGGGAUGACGUCAAAUCAUCAUGCCCCUUAUGAUUUGGGCUACACACGUGCUACAAUGGACAAUACAAAGGGCAGCUAAACCGCGAGGUCAUGCAAAUCCCAUAAAGUUGUUCUCAGUUCGGAUUGUAGUCUGCAACUCGACUACAUGAAGCUGGAAUCGCUAGUAAUCGUAGAUCAGCAUGCUACGGUGAAUACGUUCCCGGGUCU
rnacentral:rRNA from 1 species